UGGGGAAUUUUGGACAAUGGGCGAAAGCCUGAUCCAGCAAUGCCGCGUGUGUGAAGAAGGCCUUCGGGUUGUAAAGCACUUUUGUCCGGAAAGAAAUCCUCUGGGUUAAUACCUCGGGGGGAUGACGGUACCGGAAGAAUAAGCACCGGCUAACUACGUGCCAGCAGCCGCGGUAAUACGUAGGGUGCAAGCGUUAAUCGGAAUUACUGGGCGUAAAGCGUGCGCAGGCGGUUUUGUAAGACGGAUGUGAAAUCCCCGGGCUUAACCUGGGAACUGCAUUCGUGACUGCAAGGCUAGAGUAUGGCAGAGGGGGGUUAGAAUUCCACGUGUAGCAGUGAAAUGCGUAGAGAUGUGGAGGAAUACCGAUGGCGAAGGCAGCCCCCUGGGCCAAUACUGACGCUCAUGCACGAAAGCGUGGGGAGCAAACAGGAUUAGAUACCCUGGUAGUCCACGCCCUAAACGAUGUCAACUAGUUGUUGGGGAUUCAUUUCCUUAGUAACGUAGCUAACGCGUGAAGUUGACCGCCUGGGGAGUACGGUCGCAAGAUU
rnacentral:rRNA from 1 species